rnacentral:rRNA from 1 species
UACGUAAGGUGCAAGCGUUGUCCGGAAUCACUGGGCGUAGAGGGCGCGUAGGCGGUUUGAUAAGUAGAAGGUGAAAGAUUCGAGCUCAACUCGAAAACUGCCUUCUAAACUGUCUUACUUGAGGGUCUGAGGGGAAACUGGAAUUCACGGUGUAGCGGUGAAAUGCGUAGAUAUCUUGAGGAACACCGGUGGCGAAGGCGGGUCUCUGGGCCGAUACUGACGCUGAGGGGCGAAAGCGUGGGGAGCGAACAGG